rnacentral:ncRNA from 1 species
UUGGUUCGCCGAGGGUAAAACCGGGGCGAUAAUAGGGAAUCAGGUGAAAGGCCUGAACAGACCCGCUACUGUAUGUUCUAUCAAAACUGAACGGACACACCAGCAGAAAUGCCACUGACGGUCACAGACCGAUUGGGAAGGCAGUCCGUGAAGGGAACGAGUCAGGAGACCUGCCAUGCAUAA